UCUCCAAAUCCACUGUCCCACUCUCCCUCUCUUUGUAUCUUAAUAUUUUAUUUUUCUUUUUACACGUAUUUCGCUUAACAUCAUAAGAUAAAUGCAGCGAAUUAUUGCAGUACAAAUGAAGUAAAAAACUGUUGACUCCUAUUCCUAAUUUGAUCACAUAAAUCAUAAGUUCAUUUCCAUUUCAGAUUCUAAAUUUUUCAAACAAUGGCGGCUUCUAAUCCUUCGCUUCAACCUGAGAUCGGACCUGAUGGUCUCUCAAGAGAAGCUCCUGUCAUCGCCUACACUGAGAAGAUAAUCGAGGAAGAACAGCAUCAAUUGAGGAAAUACAUUGAAGAAAACUAUUCUAAAAUACGUGAUGUUGAGAGAGAGCUAGCAAAUCUUACAAUGGAAAUAAAACUCACUGCUGGACCUAAAAAAGCAGCAAUGGAACUGUUGAGAAAGAAAAUAGAAAUGUCAACUGAGAGAAUUCAUCUUGCCAAGCAGAAGGAAGAACAAGCACGAAAGGUCUGGGAAGCAGCAUCAAAGGCCGUGCAGGAAGAAGAAGCGAUGAAGCAGAAGUUAUGUGAAGAUUUAAACUCUUUGGUUCAAGAAAGCAGUAACACUCAGUUUUCUCGACUUGAGGAAUUGAAAAGACGACUGGAAGCUUUGAACCCAACUAGAGCAUCAAUCUCUUCUCUUCAAGAUGGGAAACCAAUGGCACCUGUACAGAUUAGUACUGCUCCAGAUACUUCUUCAGUCUCCUCUGCUGUGGAACCAGGUGCUGGAAUCACUCAAAACGCAUCAUCUAAUCAAGGAAACGGUGGAAAUGCUCCAAUUAUGAAUGGAAACAAUCAGCAGGCUACUGUUGAUGGAGAAGGAAGAGGAAAGAAGAAAACUCAUUUUCCAGGAAGAGGAAAGGGAGUUGGGGCUCUGCCCAAGGGUAGAGGAUCUACAGCACCUGGCUGGACAGGUGCUGGGUUUGAUGUCGAUGGUAGAGCGUAGAAGCAUAGUGUCAAAUUUUCUUUUCUAUGCUGAAUACAUUAGGCAAGUAGACAACAGUUUUGCUCAUCUACUGGAUGUCUAAAUAUGUGCAAAUGAUGAGAGUAAUGGGCUCUUUUCAACAACUCAGAGAUAGCAGGUGGGAACACUGACUAGGCAUUUGUAUUUCUGUAAUGGUACAUUAGAGUGAAUGUGAGUAGCCAUUGGAGUUAAAUGCUCUACGGUACGGACUGUCAUAGACUUGGUUAAGCUGGACUUCUUUGUAGCUGACUGCUGUACGAUACAGUGAUUGAAAAUAAUUAGUUCAGUCAUUCAAACACCUAAUAGAUAGAAUGCUGGUGACUGAUAACCCAUUGCAGUUUUGGGAUUGGCUGUCUUCUGAUUGACCUCAUACUCAUUAACUUGUUGAAAUAAUUUCAUCUUGCAUUUA